GGUAUUUCUUGUUCGCCACCGCUACAGAGUCAGUCAUGAUUAUCCUUGGAUUCAUUUUUCUAUCAUUGCUUACAGGACACACAUUUGGAGCAUGCACCGACCAAAAGUCCGCUUGCGCGAAUUGGGCCAGUUACUUCGAAUGCUAUCGUGUGUUAAAGCUGAAUUGUGACUGUGCUCUCUCCUGCAAUACCCCAUCCGAAUGCGACGCUGGAUCGGGUGAUACCAGUUGUAACUGUAGGGAGUGGGCCGCUCAAGGGAAAUGUGAAACUGACACCUCUGUUGUGACCGCCUGCCCUACGACAUGCGGCAUCAGG